UACUUUGAUCCUGGCUCAGGAUGAACGCUAGCUACAGGCUUAACACAUGCAAGUCGAGGGGCAGCAUGGACCCAGCUUUGCUGGGUUUGAUGGCGACCGGCGCACGGGUGAGUAACGCGUAUCCAACCUGCCCUAUACUCCGGGAUAGUCUCCUGAAAGGGAGUUUAAUACCGGAUGUGUUUGUCUUUCCGCAUGGGAGCGACAAAUAAAGAUUAAUUGGUAAAGGAUGGGGAUGCGUCCCAUUAGCUUGUUGGCGGGGUAACGGCCCACCAAGGCGACGAUGGGUAGGGGUUCUGAGAGGAAGGUCCCCCACAUUGGAACUGAGACACGGUCCAAACUCCUACGGGAGGCAGCAGUGAGGAAUAUUGGUCAAUGGGUGGGAGCCUGAACCAGCCAAGUAGCGUGAAGGACGACGGCCCUACGGGUUGUAAACUUCUUUUAUAAGGGAAUAAAGUUCGCCACGUGUGGUGUUUUGUAUGUACCUUAUGAAUAAGCAUCGGCUAAUUCCGUGCCAGCAGCCGCGGUAAUACGGAAGAUGCGAGCGUUAUCCGGAUUUAUUGGGUUUAAAGGGAGCGUAGGCGGGCUUUUAAGUCAGCGGUCAAAUGUCGUGGCUCAACCAUGUCAAGCCGUUGAAACUGUAAGCCUUGAGUCUGCACAGGGCACAUGGAAUUCGUGGUGUAGCGGUGAAAUGCUUAGAUAUCACGAAGAACUCCGAUCGCGAAGGCAUUGUGCCGGGGCAUAACUGACGCUGAGGCUCGAAAGUGCGGGUAUCAAACAGGAUUAGAUACCCUGGUAGUCCGCACGGUAAACGAUGAAUGCUCGCUAUGGGCGAUAUAUUGUCCGUGGCCAAGCGAAAGCGUUAAGCAUUCCACCUGGGGAGUACGCCGGCAACGG
rnacentral:rRNA from 1 species